rnacentral:rRNA from 1 species
UGGGGAAUAUUGCACAAUGGGCGAAAGCCUGAUGCAGCAACGCCGCGUGAGGGAAGACGGUCUUCGGAUUGUAAACCUCUGUCCUUGGUGAAGAAACAUGACGGUAGCCAUGGAGGAAGCCACGGCUAACUACGUGCCAGCAGCCGCGGUAAUACGUAGGUGGCAAGCGUUGUCCGGAUUUACUGGGUGUAAAGGGAGCGCAGGCGGGAAGGCAAGUCAGCUGUGAAAACUAUGGGCUUAACCCAUAGACUGCAGUUGAAACUGUUUUUCUUGAGUGGAGUAGAGGUAAGCGGAAUUCCGAGUGUAGCGGUGAAAUGCGUAGAGAUAAGGAAGAACACCAGUGGCGAAGGCGAUCUACUGGACAGUAACUGACGCUGAGGCGCGAAAGCGUGGGGAGCAAACAGGAUUAGAUACCCUGAUAGU